UGGGGAAUCUUGCACAAUGGGGGCAACCCUGAUGCAGCGACGCCGCGUGAGCGAUGAAGCCCUUCGGGGCGUAAAGCUCUUUCGACCGGAACGAUAAUGACGGUACCGGGAGAAGAAGCUGCGGCUAACUACGUGCCAGCAGCCGCGGUAAUACGUAGGCAGCAAGCGUUGUUCGGAGUUACUGGGCGUAAAGAGUGCGUAGGCGGUUUUCUAAGUUCGGUGUGAAAUCUCCCGGCUUAACUGGGAGGGUGCGCCGAAGACUGGGAAGCUGGAGUGUGGGAAAGGCAGGCGGAAUUCCUGGUGUAGCGGUGAAAUGCGUAGAUAUCAGGAGGAACGCCGGCGGUGUAGACGGCUUGCCAAACCAUAACUGACGCUGAGGCACGAAAGCGUGGGUAG
rnacentral:rRNA from 1 species